rnacentral:rRNA from 1 species
CCUACGGGAGGCAGCAGUAGGGAAUAUUGCUCAAUGGGGGAAACCCUGAAGCAGCAACGCCGCGUGGAGGAUGAAGGUUUUCGGAUUGUAAACUCCUUUUGUUAGAGAAGAUAAUGACGGUAUCUAACGAAUAAGCACCGGCUAACUCCGUGCCAGCAGCCGCGGUAAUACGGAGGGUGCAAGCGUUAUUCGGAAUCACUGGGCGUAAAGAGCGCGUAGGCGGGAUAGCAAGUCAGAUGUGAAAUCCUAUGGCUUAACCAUAGAACUGCAUUUGAAACUGUUAUUCUAGAGUAUGGGAGAGGUAGGUGGAAUUCUUGGUGUAGGGGUAAAAUGCGUAGAGAUCAAGAGGAAUACUGAUUGCGAAGGCGACCUGCUAGAACAUAACUGACGCUGAUGCGCGAAAGCGUGGGGAGCAAACAGGAUUAGAUACCCCAGUAGUC